rnacentral:rRNA from 1 species
UCCGGUGAUUAUAGCGAAGUGGUCACACCUGUUCCCAUCCCGAACACAGAAGUUAAGCACUUCAUCGGCGAAGAUAGUUGGGCCUGCCCCUGCAAAAAUAGCAAGUCGCCGGUU